rnacentral:rRNA from 1 species
CUACGGGCUGCUCCAGUGGGGAAUAUUGCACAAUGAGCGAAAGCUUGAUGCAGCCAUACCGCGUGUGUGAAGAAGGCCCGAGGGUUGUAAAGCACUUUCAAUUGUGAGGAAGGUUCAGUAGUUAAUACCUGCUGUUCUUGACGUUAACUUUAGAAGAAGCACCGGCUAACUCUGUGCCAGCAGCCGCGGUAAUACAGAGGGUGCAAGCGUUAUUCGGAAUUACUGGGCGUAAAGCGCGCGUAGGCGGAUUGUUAAGUCAGUUGUGAAAGCCCUGGGCUCAACCUGGGAACUGCAUCUGAACUGGCAAUCUAGAGUUUAAGAGAGGGAAGUGGAAUUCCAGGUGUAGCAGUGAAAUGCGUAGAUAUCUGGAGGAACAUCAGUGGCGAAGGCGACUUCCUGGCUUAAAACUGACGCUGAGGUGCGAAAGCGUGGGUAGCGAACGGGAUUAGAUACCCGUGUAGUC